rnacentral:lncRNA from 13 species
GAGACAGCACCAUGGUGGGUUCUUUCUGAGUCUGCGUGGACCAGAAGAGUGCCGGGCGGCCAGCGCUCCAGGGUUUAUGCUCGGGGCGCGGGGACACGCCCGGACACGCGGCGCUCAUUGGCUGGCGCGGAGCCCCGGGCGCGGCCUGGACCGAAGGGGAUUCCAGGGCCUGGCCUGCGUGGGGCGGGCGGUGGGCUUGGCCUCCCCCGGGGGCGCUCGUGGGGCGGGGCGGGCCAGGAGGUCUCCACCUUCCACCCAACGCUCCACUCCCGCCCAUCCCGCUGGCCCGAAGCAGGGCGGUGGCCGCGCUGGCGGGGCCGGCCGGUCGGAGUCGCGCGCUGUGGGCUCUUCCACCCCGGCGUUCAGCGCCACCUUUUCCUUCCGGGAGCUCGAGCGUCCCGAGUGAAGGAGAAAGUCAGCCCGCAGCCCUGCCCCGGCCUGACACCCGCUGGACGCGCGUCAACUCCGGCGGGUCCGGUGCACACACUCAGCUUCCUGGAGUGCGAGCGGGGAGGCUUCGCCCAAUCCCAGCGGAGAGGGAUGCGCGCACCCGGACACCCGGCCUGUGGAAACUCCAAAGAAUGUCCCCGCAGAGCCCCUCCUGCUCUGCAGUCUCGCUUUCUCCAGCCCCCUUUCCCACCGGCGGCCGUCACAAGUGUGCUGGAGUGACAGGCACCCGGAAGGAACAAAUACCAGCCAGAAUGCAAAAAAGCGCCGGGCUGGGGUGGGGGCGGCUCCAGAUCCAAACUCCUUUACCCGCAUGGGGAAAGCGGCCGGUGGUAGUGGGUGCUGGCUAAGUCCCGGCUCCUGGACUCACCGUGUGACCCAGUGCAGUUUGUGUGACGGACUCUUCCACCGGCCUAGUAGAGGUCUUGGUCCACUAUGACACCCCCAGCUCUCCAAAUGCUAUUUGGUGCAAGACUUGCUAGGUAAAUAGGGGUUAAACAGAUAAACAAAGCCCCAGGCAGAACACGCCUUGAGCAUGGAGCCUCCUCUGGGAGGUAGGCAUUCCUCUAAUCAUCAGGCAAGUGAGUACACUCAGAGGUGCAGACUUCAUCACAGGCCCCGAGGAAGUCUCGACGGGUGGACGAGGCACUCAGGGGGAGCAGGGUG